UGGAAGGUGAGAGACAGCGAGUGAAGGAGGAACUUGCCAAACACUUAAAACCAUCAGAUCUUAUGAGAACUCACACACUAUCACAAGAACAGCAUGGGGGACACCAUGCCCAUAAUCCAAUCACCUCCC